rnacentral:rRNA from 1 species
AUGAUUCGGCCUCCCUCCAACCAUUGUCAUCGUAAAAUACAAGAAAGCACUCGCUUCAAUCCAUAUUUCAAGGAUUGUGUUGGAGCAAUUGAUGGGACUCAUGUGCUUGCUAGAGUCCCAAAAAGUAUCUCAGCUGCCUUUAGGGGUAGAAAGGUGGGGACUACCCAAAAUGUCAUGGCUGCGGUAGACUUUGAUCUAAAGUUUACCUAUGUACUUGCGGGUUGGGAGGGAUCAGCUCAUGAUGCCCUUAUACUUCCUACCAAACACAGUCUCAGCUCAGCAUGCAUCAGUACAUACAUUGCUACCAAACAACUGCAGUUGCAUGUACUG